rnacentral:lncRNA from 1 species
CAAAGAUCUCAAGUUUUUUACAGGUAAGAAUCCAAAGUUCAUGCUCUUUUCAAUCUUCCAUUUUUUACUUUGUUUUGGUGCUUAAUUCCUUCAAUUUUACCAUAAAACCCUCUAAGUUUCUAGUAUUUUUCUGUAACGGGAGGUCUCUGAAUUUUGAAACUAGGUCGGAGGAGGAGACGGAAUCGAUUUAACUGGGUUUUUUUAGGGCUUUUUCUGCGACGAUUUUUUCUAAUUGGCAUUUUUUCAUUGCUGGUGUUGUUUUGUUGUUGGGUGAUAGAUCGGAAGAAUUUUUGGUGUUUGUGGAGUUCGAAGAUGUUUUCUUUAAAGUGAAAUUGAGUUUCUUUAGUGGGGUUUUAAUAAUAGUGGUUGAGUCUAAUGAAACUUGUCUUGGUCUUGUUUUUUGAUGAUGCAUUAGAUGGGAGCUUAAUCAGCUUAGUCUGGUUCUUGAGUCCGCCAUUAAUGGUGGUUUUGAUUAACUUUGUUUGGUUCUUUGAUGGAGUUGCAGUGGGCUUAAUGAGUUUGGUUUUGUUCUUGGUUGAAAAAGUUUUUUUUGCCAUUGAAGAAAAAGAAGAAGAAGUGGGUUUUUUCUUGAUAGUGAUUGGCUGACUACUUUCACCAUCAUCUUUUAAAUCUAACAACAUUCUUGAAAUCUUUUGUGGCUGUUGUUGGUUUUGAUUGGCAGAAGAGAUAGAAUGUUGAAGUGAGGAAAAUUAGCAAAAUUAGAUAGAGCAAAAGUACCUUCUUUGGAGAGGAGUACACAACUACAAGUUGAGCCAUUUUUUUUUUAUUCUUGAAAAUGUGGUAACGAAGACUUGAAAAUCCAAUCUAUGUCUGUUUGUUUGUAUUUUUUGGAGAUCUACGGGAGGCC